UGGGGAAUAUUGCACAAUGGGCGCAAGCCUGAUGCAGCCAUGCCGCGUGUAUGAAGAAGGCCUUCGGGUUGUAAAGUACUUUCAGUCGGGAGGAAGGUGGUAAGGUUAAUAACCUUAUCAAUUGACGUUACCGACAGAAGAAGCACCGGCUAACUCCGUGCCAGCAGCCGCGGUAAUACGGAGGGUGCAAGCGUUAAUCGGAAUUACUGGGCGUAAAGCGCACGCAGGCGGUCUGUCAAGUCGGAUGUGAAAUCCCCGGGCUCAACCUGGAAACUGCAUUCGAAACUGGAAGGUUGGAUUCUUGUAGAGGGGGGUGGAAUUCCAGGUGUGGCGGGGAAAUACGUGAGAAUCAGAGGAAUACCGGUGGCGAAGGCGGCCCCCUGGACAAAGACUGACGCUCAGGUGCGAAAGCGUGGGGAGCAAACAGG
rnacentral:rRNA from 1 species